GGCCGCCGGCCACACCCACCACCACCGCGAGCCGCGCUCACUGCCCGGCGCCGCCCUCGCGCUGCUCGGCUUCGCGCUCAUCGCCGCCAUGCAGCUCACCGUGGUCCAUCACCACCAUCAUCACGACGGAGACGAGGACGUGGGCAACAUGACGUCACAGAACAACAGCAGCGAGAUGGAGCGACACGUCCACCUGUGAGGCCGGCGGUUCUCAUCGUUGGACAUCCAAAAGCAGCCAAUGUACAUGAAUCGUUUGAAGUGCGCUGUGUCGCAGUUUGCCCAACAUACUUUCGACAGUGACUGAUCUAUUGUUGGAAAGAGGUGACGAAAGAUUUUAUUCCACAAAAGAUAAAUGGACAUUAAAGGAAGAGUCGCAUGUGUACGACAAUCCAGUCUACGAUCUCAGGGAUCGUGCUGGCAGAAGUUAUGUAACGAGCUUCCGAGAAUUCGUUAGUAUUGCUAAAUAUAUUUCAUCUAUUUAUAAAAGUA